UAAGCAUAUUCUGCUGCCUUCUACUCCAAUUUUGGUAAUUAUAAAAGUUUCGGUGAUACCAAAUUCAUUCCUGAUCUUCCUCAAGAGAAGCUGGAGAAACUCAUCACCUCCAGUCAGUGUUACCGUGACAACAAGGAGAGGAUCUCAUUCCUCUGGUCCUCAGUGGCGGAUGGGAUGUUCUCACUCCACCCACCUGCUGUACGACAGUUAGCGUUCCCUCCUGAUGGUAUAACGACUUACUAUUCGGGUAACUGUGGUAAAGAAGAUGCUGAAAUCAUAAAAGAAUUUAUGUUGAAUAAAGAUUUGAGCCCAUACAAUACAAGAUUGUUCAA